CCAACGGCUCUUUUAAGAGCCACCCAAGAAUUCUCAAAAAGAGCUG
rfam:Colinus virginianus strain Texas jcf7180006227028, whole genome shotgun sequence.